AUUGAACGCUGGCGGCAUGCUUUACACAUGCAAGUCGGACGGCAGCACAGAGAAGCUUGCUUCUUGGGUGGCGAGUGGCGAACGGGUGAGUAACAUAUCGGAACGUACCGAGUAGUGGGGGAUAACUGAUCGAAAGAUUAGCUAAUACCGCAUACGUCUUGAGAGGGAAAGCAGGGGACCUUCGGGCCUUGCGCUAUUCGAGCGGCCGAUAUCUGAUUAGCUAGUUGGUGGGGUAAAGGCCUACCAAGGCGACGAUCAGUAGCGGGUCUGAGAGGAUGAUCCGCCACACUGGGACUGAGACACGGCCCAGACUCCUACGGGAGGCAGCAGUGGGGAAUUUUGGACAAUGGGCGCAAGCCUGAUCCAGCCAUGCCGCGUGUCUGAAGAAGGCCUUCGGGUUGUAAAGGACUUUUGUCAGGGAAGAAAAGGCUGUUGCUAAUAUCAGCGGCUGAUGACGGUACCUGAAGAAUAAGCACCGGCUAACUACGUGCCAGCAGCCGCGGUAAUACGUAGGGUGCGAGCGUUAAUCGGAAUUACUGGGCGUAAAGCGAGCGCAGACGGUUACUUAAGCAGGAUGUGAAAUCCCCGGGCUCAACCUGGGAACUGCGUUCUGAACUGGGUGACUAGAGUGUGUCAGAGGGAGGUAGAAUUCCACGUGUAGCAGUGAAAUGCGUAGAGAUGUGGAGGAAUACCGAUGGCGAAGGCAGCCUCCUGGGAUAACACUGACGUUCAUGCUCGAAAGCGUGGGUAGCAAACAGG
rnacentral:rRNA from 1 species